UUGAUAAGAUUUAGUUAUAUUCAAAUAAUAACGGUAUAAACUAUUAACAGUUAGCUAAGCUAUCGAUUAUAAAAGGCCGGAGUCAAAAAAUUGGGUCGUCAGUUAAACCUUAGCCGUCUACAAAGUCAAUAAUGGAUUUCCACACUGCCUGCGAAAAAGCCAAAGCUUUCACCAAGAAGCCCUCGAACGCUGAAUUCUUGGAAUUCUACGGUCUCUUCAAGCAAGCCACCGUUGGUGAUGUCAACAUUCCAGCUCCCAGCGCCAUUGACUUGACGGCCAAGGCUAAAUUCGACGCAUGGAACAAGCACAAGGGUUUGUCCCAGGAUGCCGCCAAGGCCGCCUACAUUGCCACCUAUGAGAAAUACGCACCCAUCUAUGCUUAAAUUAAAAAUUAUGGAAAUGUCAUUUAGACAAGUACUGUUAACGUAAAAAGAAUUAGUGCUCGAGAGCAUUCACAAAUAUCUACCCUGUCGGCAACUUCAUCUUGGGAUGGGACAAAAUAUAAAAUUCCACCUUUGGUAGAGAUUGCUUUUGAGUGCCUAAAACCACUACUUGGCGGAUAUCAAACUAACCGGUCUGGAAAUGAAGCUCUCUAACCGAAACCAUAGAUAAUAGGUAAAACAUAUCCAAACAGAACAAGGAGUAUUUAAUUAGAUUUGAUUGCCCUUUGGUUGUUCUGGAUUGAAGUUCUCUUAUAGAAGUGAGUAGAAAGUGGGAAAAUUAUUGAAGUGAUAUUAAGAUCUUAGCAUGAACUUGUGCUUUUAAAUAUAGAUCAUAAGAGGCAUGUCAACUAAGAACCAAAAUUAUGUAUAAAUGUCUCCGAAGGUUAUAGGAAUAUUAUAAAAUAAUAAAAUAAUUCUUAUUAACAUUCAA